UGUUCUGGUAUGGAGCCCAGAUGUAAGGCAGC
rnacentral:piRNA from 1 species